ensembl:miRNA Mir3086 microRNA 3086
CUGCCAUCCUACACUUAGAUUGUAGGCCCAUUGGAAGGGUUAGCGUCUUGACCCCAAUGAGCCUACAGUCUAAGUGUGGGAUGGCGG